rnacentral:rRNA from 1 species
CCUGAUCUAGCCAUGCCGCGUGUGUGAUGAAGGCCUUAGGGUCGUAAAGCACUUUCGCUAGGGAUGAUAAUGACAGUACCUAGUAAAGAAACCCCGGCUAACUCCGUGCCAGCAGCCGCGGUAAUACGGAGGGGGUUAGCGUUGUUCGGAAUUACUGGGCGUAAAGCGUACGUAGGCGGAUCAGAAAGUAGGGGGUGAAAUCCCGAGGCUCAACCUCGGAACUGCCUCCUAAACUCCUGGUCUUGAGUUCGAGAGAGGUGAGUGGAAUUCCAAGUGUAGAGGUGAAAUUCGUAGAUAUUUCCACCAACACCAGUGG